GAUGAAGAACGUAGUGAAAUGCGAUACUUGGUGUGAAUUGCAGAAUCCUGUGAACCAUCGAGUUUUUAAACGCAAGUUUCGCCCGAAGCCAUUAGGCCGAGGGCACGCCUGCCUGGGUGUCACACAUUGUUGCCCCAAUGCCAAUCGCCUCACUUUGUAGGUAUUUGCUUGGGGUGAAUGUUGGCCUCCCGGGAGCUCUGUCUCACGGUUGGUUGAAAAUCGAAUGCAUGGUGUCGGGUGUACCAUGAUGGAUGGUGGUUGAGUGAUGCUCGAGACCAAUCAUGGGUAACUCCACCAGAAUUGUGCUCGGUGACCCACAUGCGUCCCUUGGAUGCUCCCUAAGGAGACCUCAGGUCAGGCGGGGCUACCCGUUGAGUUUAAGCAUAUCAAUAAGCGGAGGA
rnacentral:misc_RNA from 1 species